GACGAACGCUGGCGGCGUGCCUAAUACAUGCAAGUUGAGCGAUGAAGAUUGGUGCUUGCACCAAUUUGAAGAGCAGCGAACGGGUGAGUAACGCGUGGGGAAUCUGCCUUUGAGCGGGGGACAACAUUUGGAAACGAAUGCUAAUACCGCAUAACAACUUUAAACAUAAGUUUUAAGUUUGAAAGAUGCAAUUGCAUCACUCAAAGAUGAUCCCGCGUUGUAUUAGCUAGUUGGUGAGGUAAAGGCUCACCAAGGCGAUGAUACAUAGCCGACCUGAGAGGGGGGUCGGCCACAUUGGGACUGAGACACGGCCCAAACUCCUACGGGAGGCAGCAGUAGGGAAUCUUCGGAAAUGGACGAAAGUCUGAACGAGGAACGCCGCGUGAGUGAAGAAGGUUUUCGGAUCGUAAAACUCUGUUGGUAGAGAAGAACGUUGGUGAGAGUGGAAAGCUCAUCAAGUGACGGUAACUACACAGAAAGGGACGGCUAACUACGUG
rnacentral:rRNA from 1 species